CGGAGGAUCCAAGCGUUAUCCGGAUUUAUUGGGUUUAAAGGGUGCGUAGGUGGACUCAUAAGUCAGCGGUGAAAGUUUGCAGCUUAACUGUAAAAUUGCCGUUGAAACUGUCGGUCUUGAGUGCAAAUGAGGUAGGCGGAAUGUGUCGUGUAGCGGUGAAAUGCAUAGAUAUGACACAGAACACCAAUUGCGAAGGCAGCUUACUGGGAUGCAACUGACACUGAGGCACGAAGGCGUGGGGAUCAAACAGGAUUA
rnacentral:rRNA from 1 species